rnacentral:misc_RNA from 1 species
UACGUAGGGGGCGAGCGUGGUCCGGAAUUAUUGGGCGUAAAGCGCGCGCCGGCGGUCCUUUAAUUCUGAUGUGAAACAUUGCGGCUUAUCCGCAAGCGGUCAUUGGAAACUGGGGGACUUGAGUACAGAAGAGGAGAGCGGAAUUCCACGUGUAGCGGUGAAAUGCGUAGAUAUGUGGAGGAACACCAGUGGCGAAGGCGGCUCUCUGGUCUGUAACUGACGCUGAGGCGCGAAAGCGUGGGAAGCAAACAGG